UGCCAGCAGCCGCGGUAAUACGGAGGGGGUUAGCGUUGUUCGGAUUUAUUGGGCGUAAAGAGCUCGUAGGCGGACUGAUCAGUCAGAGGUGAAAUCCCAGGGCUCAACCCUGGAACUGCCUUUGAUACUGUCAGUCUUGAGUUCGAGAGAGGUGAGUGGAAUUCCAAGUGUAGAGGUGAAAUUCGUAGAUAUUUGGAGAAACACCAGUGGCGAAGGCGGCUCACUAGCUCGAUACUGACGCUGAGGUACGAAAGUGUGGGGAGCAAACAGGAUUAGAUA
rnacentral:rRNA from 1 species